AAAACACUGGGACCGUCGGUCUACCGAGCAAUAUUUAACCAGCUCGGUGGAAGAUCUUCCUUUCGUCUU
rnacentral:pre_miRNA from 1 species